rfam:Chryseobacterium gleum ATCC 35910 genomic scaffold SCAFFOLD1, whole genome shotgun sequence.
GAGAGCCGUAUACCUGGAGACAGGUACGUACGGUUCGGGGGAGAGUUCUUGGAAACCUACCAUAGUCAAUAUGGCAAGGCGCCGGGUUCUUAUCCUAC